AAUCUUUCGCAAUGUGCGAAAGCCUGACGCAGCCAUGCCGCGUGAACGAUGAAGGUCUUAGGAUUGUAAAAUUCUUUCACCGGGGACGAUAAUGACGGUACCCGGAGAAGAAGCCCCGGCUAACUUCGUGCCAGCAGCCGCGGUAAUACGAAGGGGGGUAGCGUUGCUCGGAAUUACUGGGCGUAAAGGGCGCGUAGGCGGAUCGUUAAGGCAGAGGUGAAAUCCCAGGGCUCAACCCUGGAAAUGCCUUUGAUACUGGCGAUCUUGAGUAUGAGAGAGGUAUGUGGAACUCCGGGUGUAGAGGUGAAAUUCGUAGAUAUUCGGAAGAACACCAGUGGCGAAGGCGACAUACUGGCUCAUUACUGACGCUGAGGCGCGAAAGCGUGGGGAGAAAACA
rnacentral:rRNA from 1 species